rnacentral:rRNA from 1 species
AUGAAAAUGAUAUGUUGGAACUGCCGACGGUUGGGUCGACCUUGGACAGUCCAAGAGCUUGUGUGUCUCACAAAGACGCAUCGACCCAAUGUUAUCUUUCUUUCUGAAACAAGGCAAAAUAAAGAAUAUGUUGUGAGUUUGCGUUAUCGGUUAUGUAUGAAAAAUGUUUUUACUGUUUCUAUGCCAGGCAAAGGAGGUGGACUAGCGGUCUUUUGGGAUGAUCUGUACACGUUGGAGUUGAACAAAUAUGGAGAACACUUCAUUGACAUGUACAUUUAUAAUGGUGCUGGAAGUAAAUGGAGAAGCACUUUUGUCUAUGGGGAACCAAAGGUAUGUAAUGUGGGAGUUAUUAAGGCGAAUUAA